rnacentral:rRNA from 1 species
AAAACUGGCGGCGGCUUACACAUGCAGUCGAACGGUAGCAGGAGAAAGCUUGCUUUCUUGCUGACGAGUGGCGGACGGGUGAGUAAUGCUUGGGAAUCUGGCUUAUGGAGGGGGAUAACUACUGGAAACGGUAGCUAAUACCGCGUAACAUCUUCGGAUUAAAGGGUGGGAUCUUCGGACCACUUGCCAUAAGAUGAGCCCAAGUGGGAUUAGGUAGUUGGUGGGGUAAAGGCCUACCAAGCCGACGAUCUCUAGCUGGUCUGAGAGGAUGGCCAGCCACACUGGAACUGAGACACGGUCCAGACUCCUACGGGAGGCAGCAGUGGGGAAUAUUGCACAAUGGGGGGAACCCUGAUGCAGCCAUGCCGCGUGAAUGAAGAAGGCCUUCGGGUUGUAAAGUUCUUUCGGUGAUGAGGAAGGCAGAUAAGUUAAUAGCUUGUUUGAUUGACGUUAGUCACAGAAGAAGCACCGGCUAACUCCGUGCCAGCAGCCGCGGUAAU